GUUACCCUCGUAUCUGACCUAUCCGAGUUAGCCCUCCCAAGCGGACAAAGAGGUGGAUCAUCUGAUCUUGAAAUAGGUCAUCCCGGCUAUCCCGAUCUUUUAUCUGUUCAUUUCGUCAGGUAUCUGAAUCAUACGAUUCUGAGGAUUCUGCUUUUCACAUUCAUUCUACAGGACCAAAACGAGGCCUUUCCUCGCUAGUUGGAAUAAAAACCGCCCGGCUUUCCCGAUCUUUUAUCUGUUCAUUUCGUCAAGUAUCUGAAUCAUACAAUUCUGAGGAUUCUGCUUUUCACAUUCAUUCUACAUGACCAAAACGAAGCCUUUCCUCGCUAGUUGGAAUAAAAACCUCAACAGCAGCCUUCAUUGAACCCCUUCUUCCUAUCCUUGCUACCUAUGAAACGAGUCCCUCUUUCAUUCACUAAAGAAGACGCAGCUGAUAGAUGGAUGAAUAUACAUUUGAUGGCCAGUUCUAUGAAGAAAAAUCUCGAGUUGGAGGCAUCGCUGGGAAAAAAGCCAAUUG
rnacentral:lncRNA from 1 species